AGAAGAAAAGAAAAAGAAGGGAGAGAGAGAAAAAGAAGUGAAGAAGAAAAAGCAGAGAAUACAAAGAGACCGGAUAUUGACAAAUUUCAUGUCACUGUUCUGGGAUCUCUCUCUAAACUAUACUCUUUUUCCGUCUCUAAAAAAACCUCACUUUAUUUUUCUUUCUCUCUCUAAAAAAUAAAACCUCAGUUAAUUUUUCUUUCUUCACUUUGUUGUAUAUGUCUAAAACAGAGAAAAGAGAAAGAACAAAUAGAUGACCAUCUAAGCUUUUUCAAUGUUGUUUCUUAAUUUUUUCUUUUAAUAACCAAACUUUUUUUUGGAGUCGAUAUACUUAAUUUUUCUUAUGUUUUCAGUGGUAGAAUCCAUGGCGGAUUCUUAAUAGGAACUGAUACAAGGAAGUGGGCUUGAGGGAUGGGAACCAAAGUUCAGAGUCUUCCGGGAAACUGCUCAAUGAGAGAUCUUAACGAGGAAUCCAGCAGUUGUGGUUGGCACCUAUAUUAUCGAAACCAUCUUGCAAGUGCUGCACCAGAUAUAUGUUCAACAUAUGAUAAGGAUGCUGUGGAACAGAUGAUGCUUGAGCACGAGGCCAUAUUUAAGAAUCAGGUGUCCGAAAUGCAUGGAAUUGAAGCUUCCUCGUGAAGGUUCUGCAUUCUGGUAUGUGAUUGUGUUCUACUGUUAGUUGUUUGAAGUUCCGUUAUUUUGGUUAUUGAAUCUUUAUAGGUAAUUAUGAAAUGAAAUAGCCAUGAGAAUAGAUUCUAUAUGAUCUUUUAGAAUAUUUAGGGAAUGUUUGGUAUGCUGGAACUGCAGCAUAAUGCUUGAUUUGCUCCAGUGUCGUCAAAUAGUGGAUAUAGUAGUGGCUUUAUGGUACAGCGGAUAUGAAAAAACUUCUAUUUUUUAUGCGAUACACAAUUUAGUGUAAAGUGUUGCCAAAUAGAGGCUAUAACAUUGUAGAAUAGUAGAAUUCGAAUAGACCGUUAUUUUCUGCUAUCUGCGACAUACAACAUAGAUAUGAUCCUGACCAAUAGUACUGUUCUAGUUAUUGUAAAAAAAAAAGAAGUUAGUAGUGAUUGAUCUAACUAAAUAUUUAUAACAUAUUGGUUUAGUUAUUAGGGAUUAGCAUUAUGGUGAAAGGGAUGACAUUGUUGCUCCGAAGGGCACAAUAUAGAAGGUGAGAUUGAGCAAUGUUGCAUAUCGUAACAAGUGAACUGUGAACUACUACUAAAUACUUACUGUUACAACUUACAACUGUUGAAUUUGAAUCACACAAACUUUUAUUUCUCGCAGUAUUAUUUUCUUUCAUAUAUUUGGAAUCCAUUUUGAUAUCUUGUAACAGCUCCCAAGAAUGUUUUAAAUCUUCAUGGAGUUCGCACAAAUCAGUGCGUCUGAAGGCAAAGCUAUCUUCAGGUGGUACACAGAAUUCGAACUCACUUGGUGAAGGGUGGCUAUAUUGCGUGAAGAGAGGGCAGGGUCAAACUCCAAAGCUUCCUUACUAUGACUGGACUGGGUAAAUUUCCAGCAUUUCUAAAACCUUUCUCGUUUCAGAACUUAAUGGGUCAUGUCAAAUAAAAUCCGACCCGCUCUUGCUUCCAUGGUUCUAAUUUACUCACACUUCAUUGCGAUUUGCAUUUCUUCCAUUUUGUCUAAAGCAAAGCAACACACCUCGUCACAGUUAGGGUUGUUCAAAAAAUCCAAGAACUGAACCGAACCGCCGAACUGAACCGAACUGAAAUUAAAAUAACCGAACCGUUAUGUAUGGUUAGUGAACCAAACCAUUAUGCACAAACAGUUCUAAAACCGAACUGUAACUGAAACCGAACCGAAUUGAAACUAAACCCGAACCGAACCAAAAUUAAAAAGGAAAAAUGCUUAAAAUAAUUUUAAAUUUUUUUAAAAUAAAAAAUAAAAAAUAGCUUAACGGUUUGGUUCUUUGAUAAACAGUUCGGUUUGGUAAAAAUUGCCUUCUAACGGUUCUAUACGGUUCGGAUUUUCAAAAUGGUAUAUCAAACCAAUAAUUUUGGUUCAGUUUGGUUCAUAGUAAAUUGAAACGGUUCGGUUCAGUUCGAGUGAAUUUUUAUUAUGGUUUAGUUCGGUUCGGUUCAGUUUUUCUUAUGAACCGUACCAUGAACACCCCUAGUCACAGUAGCAAUCUUCUCCUGGUUCUGCAGCUUGAAAUUGAUGAAGACUUCUUUUAUUUCUUGGCUGACGUUGCAAUUACAGAGGUAUAUGGAAAGUAUAUAUUUAUAUGCUUUCCAUAAAUCGUCGAGAACCCUUUCAAUCAAGUAAUUGAUAUGACAUGUGUUGUUUUUUUAUUAAUUCAAUCGUUAGUGUUUAUAUUGAUUUUGUUGUUAAACUUGUGGUGUUGAAGUUGAAAAAAUGGAGUCGAGGUGCUGUACAAUUGUGUUGUGUGCUAUCUCUAUGUCGAUCUAGUGACGUAAAGUUUGGCUACUUUGAUCUAGUGAAUUUGCCGAUCUAUAUGAAAAGUGCGGGUAAUAUUUUUCAAAUUGAUAUGCAUGUGAGUUUGAAAAUUACAUUGUUUUCUUUUUCCAUUUCAAAUGUUAUACAUGGUCAAACCUGUGUAACGGGACAAACCGUCGAUUUACUCGGUUUUUAAUGUUCCAUGAAUUGAAUGUGUUAAUUUAUAAACCCUUCUGUUAUAAAUAUCAAUAACAAAAGUGAUGCUUCUAUAUGUUAUAAUACAACUGUUACUCUAUAUUUUUUUUUGUUCUUUAACCACAAAUAUUAGUGAUGUGUCAAUGCACACUGCAAGAUCAAAGGUAACUCAGGGUCACCAAAAUCAGGUCUGGAUGCUAUGUCUGAUUUUUAUUCGAUACUUCGUGAUGAAGCUGCUAGAAGUCACAAAAUGGAGGUCAACUGUCGCGAUGCAUUGAAUUGGAUAUCUCAUAAGGGAUAUCAUUGGAGUUAUGAGAAUAAAUGAAUAUUCAGGUAUCAUUCUUAUUUCCUCAUUACUUGCCCUUGAACUUGAAAUUAAUUGAAAUCCAUUUACAUUAAAUAUUUUCCAAUUGUGAAAUGAAAUGAGCAUCAGUAAAUGUAUGGACUAGAGGGGUCAAAAAAGCCCAAAAUUGUAAAGUGCUAUCAUUUAGGUCCUUAUAAGGCCCCUCUUUUUUAGGCCCUUUACUAAAUAAAUAAUUUUUUGGCCCCAUAUUUCAAAGCCCCUUUGUAUUUUUGUUUUUUAUGGGGCCUAAGUAAGAGCCCCAAAUUAUAACUUGUUUGAAACUAAAUAGUUUGAACAGAUUUUUUAUCGAAAAUAUAAAAAUUGACUUUUUCGAAAAACAUAACCGUGUUAUUUUCGAAAAUAAAAAAGUCGACUUUUUCCGGAAAAAAAUAGAUUUUUUUCGAAAAUACAAAAAGAUGAUUUUUUUGGAAAAAGAUUUUUUAAUCGAAAAAUCGAUUUUUUUCCAAAAAGGAAAAAAGUUGACUAUUCCGGAAAAAAUCAAUUUUUUUCGAAACAAUAAAAACUCGACUUUUCUGAAAAAGAAAACAAUUUUUUAGUCGACAAUAUAAAAAGUUGGCUUUUUUCGAAAAAGUUGACUUUUUCGAAAAAAAAUCGAUAUUUGUCGAAAAUAUAAAAAAUAGAUUUUUCCAUAAAUAAAUUUGAUUUUUUGUUGAAAAUACAAGUCGAUUUUCCGAUAAAAAAACAUCUUUUACGAAAAUAUAAAACAUCGAUUUUUAGUAAAUCAUUAUAGAUUAAGCUCAAACUUUAUAGGUAUGAUCUAUGUGAUAUUAUGUUUCAAUCCAACGGUUGAAUUUAAAAAAUAUUAAUUCGAGAUGUAGUUAUUGAACGAGUGUAACUCGUGGUGUAACUCUUCGGGUGUAAUUUGAUCCCUCCUCAUAUAUAUAUAUAUAUAUAUAUAUAUAUAUAUAUAUAUAUAUAUAUAUAUAUAUAUAUAUAUAUAUAUAUAUAUAUAUAUAUAUAUAUAUAUAUAUAAAAUUUAGUGUAUAGUAUAAGAAAUUAAUAAUAUUAUUAUUGAAAAUCAUUAUACAAUAAAACAAGAUAAAAUAAGCAAAACGAAUAAAAAAUUGGACAUUACUAGUAUCUAUAAAAAUGAUGAUGUAAAUAGAAUAAGAGUUUUAUAAAAAUGUUUGACCCUCCAUCUCCUUAUAAGGAGAAGAAAAGUAUACAAUAUUAUGGUGAUAAAGCACUGGUAAAUGGACAAUAUUAUCAGAACCAGCUUCUAAGUGCGCCAACAGAUGUAUGUUGUUUUGUGAAACAGAUGAUGCUUGAGCACGAGGCCAUAUUUAACAAUCAGGUAUGAAGUUAUAGUUUAUUUUCAUUCUUGGCUUAUGCAAAUUAAAGGUUUUGGGUGCUUAAAGAUCGAGUAUAUAGGAUAUGAUUAUUUAUCAUGUUUUGACUCAAAAUAUGAAAAAAUGUAAUAGCUAGUUUUUAAAUACUUAGCAGUGAGAUACCAACAAGAGUUCGGUUCAAUAUUGACUUUAAUCAGUUUUAGAAUGGGUGAUAUAGUUUCACUUAAUUUUUUUGUUUACCUAUAAUUGGUAAAACUAUUGAUAUAUUUUAAUUAUGUAUUAUCAUCAGGUGUUUGAACUUAUACAGAAUACUGAAUACAAAGAGAAUUGAUGGAUGAAGUAAAAAUGAAAGAAUUACAUAGAAACCAUAGAUUUGUUGGUCAAUCGUUUUCCCUAGGUCCUAGCUUUUCAAUAGUAGGAAGUCCGGCUUGUGAUAAACCAUCUAUUUCAGGCGUUGAGGGAAUUCAUUUUCCUUUUAGUUCAAACAAAGUAAUCAAUAAGCAAACUAGUCUCUUUCCAUCGCCAAAUGGGAGUGGUUCAAAAGAUGUUGAGAUACUGAGGUCUAGACCCUCAAAGAACCGGAACCAACAACAUUUGAAUCAUAUGAGACUAAAUUUAUUAUUUCUACACAAACAAGCAUAACCUGAUUUGUCCAAAAUAGAAAGAGAAAUUAGAUUCCUUCAAAUAGAUGGUUCAACAAAAAUCUCAACCAAAUUUAAAUGAAAACCAGUCUUUAAUAAUAAUCUAAAAGUCCCUUACAGCCUUUACUGCAAUUUCAUUGCCAUCGCUCAAAUAGAUGAAUCUUUCAGCAUCACUUGGCGGAUGACUCCCUAGGCAACUAUGCAUAGACAUAAUUAUGUGAGUAGUAACACCAUAAUCUACCCACUAAGUAUCCUUACGUACAAAAAUUAAAUUAAUUUUAGAACAAACAAAAGUGUGAGAAAAUUACCCAUCCUUUUAUGCCACAUGGUGCACUUGGAACAUUUCUUCUUCAUGUGUCCAACCUUCUUGCAAAAGAAGCAAGUGGACUCUUAGAUUGUUCCUUUACGUUCUUAUUUUGAGAAAAAAUUCCCACAGCCUUAUCAUUUUUAGCAAAUAUUUCUCCACAGUUUCGAGGAACCUCUUGGUGCUUUCUCUCUCAGCAAUGGAACCCUUAAUCAUUUUAAAUAUGGAUCUUUUGAUCACCAUGAGGCACAUCCGCUUAGAGCAGUCUCAUUUUUGUAUUUUAUUUUCAUUUUGGGUUCUCAUCGGUGGCGGUGGGACGUUCUUUCGUCAGGAAUAAAUAUAAGUCCAUGCAUCCAAGAACGAUCUCUACAUAUUCUUUCCAAGACAUGAAGUUCACCUCACUUAGCAUAGUGAUAGAUUUAAUUUGAGCAACAAAAUUUAGAGCGGUAGCAGCGACAAUUAGAUCGAUUGAAAUAAAACAACAAACACACAACAACAUUAAUAGGCAUAUAAAUAACUAUAUAUACAUGCACAAUAUUCUUUAUAGAUCCGAACAAGAUACCAAAAACACAAUUGUUUCUCAAUCUAUAAUUGUAAGAAUUAACUGUAUGUGGUACUUUCACGCAGUGAUCAAAUAUUAGUAAUAAGUUCUGUGAGAUAAAGGACGUCUUUGACGUCAAUCAUUAACCACAAGGAUAAACUUAUAAUGACUACAUAUUUAUUGUUGCACGUAUGCAAUUAUUCGGCUAAAUUAUGUCUUCUUUUUUACCGACCAUAACAAUUAGCGUGAACAAUUACACACUACAUCUUUUGUGAUUAUGAUUUAAUCAUAUUUACACAACAGAGGUUUCUUUUGUAACUUAUUGCUUCAACCAACUAAAUCAAAGUCAUUUGACUUUUUUUAAGGGAAAUGCUAACCAGUGCCCUUGGGGCACUCUUUAAGUGAUUAAAGUGGUAAGUUUUUUAUAAAAAAAAAAAUGUGUAUUUAAUGCACUAAAAAUGCAUUGGAAAUUGAAAUAUUAAUUUUUAUAAAGAAUUUUUUUUAUAUAGUAUGUUAAAAGAGUGCCCUGAGGGCACUCGUUAGCAAGAUCUUAUAGUUUUUUACCUAUAUGUCAUGCAAUUAAAUUUUUUCACAUAUUUAAGUACAAUCAAUUUUUUAUACUGAUAUGUAUAUAACAUAAACAUAAUUAUUGUUUAAUUUUAAUUAUGUGAGUAUUUUCUUAAAUAAUUAGGGUAGUUUAACAAUCAUUUGGUUAUUAAGCGACCAUAUAAUCAUACAAUUUUGACAUUAUAAUUGUGGAUAAUAUUUGUGUGAAUUUUAAGAUCUUUCCAUUUAAUUUAAAUUAAGGGUUAUGCUAACGUGUGCCCUAAGGGCACAUGUUAAAGAUACUAUAAUUAGAAAAAGUUAAAUAUAAUUAAAUGCAAUAAGGUCAUAUUUAAAGUUUUGAUACAUUGAAUGCACGCGUUCCAAGAAAAUAUUUCUAUAAAUAUCUCAUUAACUUGUGCCCUUGGGGCACAUGUUAGCUUUUCCCAAAACUAUAUAGCUCGUCGGCACUGUACCGCUAAUAUAUAUGUGACGUUGUUUAUGAGAAUAGGACAAUUAAAGACAAAUCCUAGCGUUUGACAGAAGUAGGUUACUAAAUAAUUUUGCUAUCAAAUACUCACAACAUACGAAAAGCAAUCAACAUUUUUUUAUGGGAAAGAAAUUCAUUCAACGAAAAGAAGGGGAAACAACAUUCGUCCCAUGCCAGGUUUUAGACCCGAGCAUUUUGUCCCAACUAAGUUGUGGGCAUUAGAGUUCAAGUUACGACUAAUAAAAUUAACAACUACAAAAUUUAAAGAGAAACGUAAAUUAAUACAAUCCUCCACAACAAAACUAAUCGCCGCGAUUAACAUGUGUGACCUUGGACACAAUUUGUGUAAAAAAAACAAUUUGGCACUGUUAACACUACUAUCACGUAAUAAAAAAAAGGAUAAAUAGUUGUCACCCCUUGCCAUUUGGGUGAGUUUUGGAUUUUCUCCUAUUAAAUUUUUUUUUUAAGGUUGCCCCUUUAUAAAACUCAGAUUUCAAUAUCACUAACCCCUAAACUCAUGUUACGCUGACUUGGCCAAGUAUGAUCCCUGUUGGCAUUUUAAUUAUUUGGUGACAUGGAAUUAAAUAUAUAACUUUGUUAAUUGGCAAAUUAGGUUAUAGAUUUCCCAAAAUUUUCUUCUUCAU